ensembl:lncRNA
UCUUGGGCUACUAAAUACGCAUUUACUGCUUUCAAGAUGACUUGUCCCCUUGGCUCACUCCAGCAGGUCUGUGCACUCUGGAGAUUCAGACAAUAUCAAAGGAGAACUGGAAGAAACAAGGGCCUUUCCAGUCACAGAGGAACACACACUUUUGAGUGGAAAUGACAGCUGCCAACAGAAGCCUGUAGAAAACCCCAGGUACUCCAAUCUCACCCUCCUACUACCCAGCAAAUGCUUGGCCUACUGCACAGAAAAGCCAUCCAUACAGCAGAUUCUUUUCCAUGGUGUGCAAUACAGAACAGAUAGCUUGACUUGUGGUCUCACAUAAAUGUGAAAGUAAUAAUAACGAUGGAGGAAAUAAUAUGAUCAUCUCCUACUGGAAAGAAUUGUGUGAGG